GAUGAACGCUGGCGGCGUGCCUAAUACAUGCAAGUCGAGCGAACAGACGAGGAGCUUGCUCCUCUGACGUUAGCGGCGGACGGGUGAGUAACACGUGGAUAACCUACCUAUAAGACUGGGAUAACUUCGGGAAACCGGAGCUAAUACCGGAUAAUAUAUUGAACCGCAUGGUUCAAUAGUGAAAGACGGUUUUGCUGUCACUUAUAGAUGGAUCCGCGCCGCAUUAGCUAGUUGGUAAGGUAACGGCUUACCAAUGCAACGAUGCGUAGCCGACCUGAGAGGGUGAUCGGCCACACUGGAACUGAGACACGGUCCAGACUCCUACGGGAGGCAGCAGUAGGGAAUCUUCCGCAAUGGGCGAAAGCCUGACGGAGCAACGCCGCGUGAGUGAUGAAGGUCUUCGGAUCGUAAAACUCUGUUAUUAGGGAAGAACAAAUGUGUAAGUAACUAUGCACGUCUUGACGGUACCUAAUCAGAAAGCCACGGCUAACUACGUG
rnacentral:rRNA from 1 species